GCCUUCGUGGCUUAGUGGUAUAGCGUCGCUCUCGUAAUUUACGAUAUAAGCGAAGAUCGCGCGUUCGAUUCGCGUCGAGGGCA